UGAGGAAUAUUGGUCAAUGGACGAGAGUCUGAACCAGCCAAGUAGCGUGCAGGAUGACGGCCCUAUGGGUUGUAAACUGCUUUUGUUUGGGAAUAAUCGACAUUACGUGUAAUGUUUUGCAUGUACCAUUCGAAUAAGGACCGGCUAAUUCCGUGCCAGCAGCCGCGGUAAUACGGAAGGUCCAGGCGUUAUCCGGAUUUAUUGGGUUUAAAGGGAGUGUAGGCGGUUGGUUAAGCGUGUUGUGAAAUGUAGAUGCUCAACAUCUGACUUGCAGCGCGAACUGGCUGACUUGAGUACACACAACGUAGGCGGAAUUCAUGGUGUAGCGGUGAAAUGCUUAGAUAUCAUGAGGAACUCCUAUUGCGAAGGCAGCUCACGGGAGUGUCACUGACGCUUAAGCUCGAAGGUGCGGGUAUCAAACAGG
rnacentral:rRNA from 1 species